UACGGAGGGUGCAAGCGUUGCUCGGAAUUAUUGGGCGUAAAGGGUAGGUAGGUGGUCUUAUUUGUCUGGGGUGAAAGCCUUGAGCUUAACUCAAGAAGUGCCCCAGAAACGGUAAGACUAGAGUCCUAGAGAGGGUCGUGGAAUUCCCGGUGUAGCGGUGAAAUGCGUAGAGAUCGGGAGGAACACCAGAGGCGAAGGCGGCGACCUGGAUAGGUACUGACACUCAACUACGAAAGCGUGGGGAGCAAACAGGG
rnacentral:rRNA from 1 species